AAAUAUGGAAAGAUUGGUAUAUUAGUGUUGUUUGAGGGUGAUAACUAAAGGUGAAGGAGAAAAAUUCAGUGCUUAGUUGAAAUCUGUCGCUCACUUAUUCAAGCUGAAAGAAUCAACUACGUGAAUUUACUGUUUAUUUAAAAAGGUGAAAUAUUUAAACAGUUACAAAAAUAGCAACUUACCGUCUGAAGGUUUAGAUUACGUGCCCUGAAAGUCACUGAAAUCAAAUCAGUUGCAGAUCUCUCGUCGACAUUUAUUUUCGACAGAUUGCUGCUAAGAGAAGUUUCAACUAUUAUAAGGUGAGGAAUAGAAUUGAAAACAAGAUAACUAGCCUGAUGUAUAUACACAUAAAUAAAAUUUUAAUUAAUUUGUAAUUACAAAAUAAAACGAGUGGGUGUG